AUGAACGCUAGCUACAGGCUUAACACAUGCAAGUCGGGGGGCAGCAUGGUCUUAGCUUGCUAAGAUUGAUGGCGACCGGCGCACGGGUGAGUAACGCGUAUCCAACCUUCCCUAUAGUAGAGAAUAGCCCGGCGAAAGUCGGAUUAAUGCUCUAUGUUGUUCGAAGCGGGCAUCUAAUUUGAACCAAAGGCUUGCCGCUAUAGGAUGGGGAUGCGUCUGAUUAGGUAGUAGGCGGGGUAACGGCCCACCUAGCCGUCGAUCAGUAGGGGUUCUGAGAGGAAGGUCCCCCACAUUGGAACUGAGACACGGUCCAAACUCCUACGGGAGGCAGCAGUGAGGAAUAUUGGUCAAUGGACGAGAGUCUGAACCAGCCAAAGUAGCGUGCAGGAUGACGGCCCUAUGGGUUGUAAACUGCUUUUACCAGGGGAUAAAGUGCGGGACGUGUCCCGUUUUGUAGGUACCUGGUGAAUAAGGACCGGCUAAUUCCGUGCCAGCCGCGGC
rnacentral:rRNA from 1 species